UUUCUCUCCCACCGUCAAUCUUCGCUCGACACCGCAUUCCGGUGCUGAUCCAAAGCUUACAGAGCAAUGGCGAUGGCCGCCGGUUUAGGAACCUGUAUUUUCUCUCUUCCAUCACUCCAGAGACUCAGCACGGCUACCACCACUGCCGCUUCAUUCUCUUCCCUCAGAACCUGUUCCCCAUCGUCCCCCCUACUCUUCUCCACGAUACUAACUCCAAAAACUCGACAAUACUCUUCCGCAAUGAAAGCUUCUUCUCCUUCUACAACAUUCACCGAGUCCCAAGAUCUAAAGGUUAAUACAAUUCCUACGAAGCCGAUCGAAGGUCAGAAAACUGGAACUAGUGGUCUCCGGAAGAAGGUUAAAGUGUUUAUGGAAGAAAAUUACCUUGCAAAUUGGAUUCAGGCAUUAUUUAAUUCGUUGCCACCUGAGGAUUAUAAGAAUGCGUUGCUAGUAUUAGGAGGCGAUGGUCGAUAUUUUAACAAAGAAGCUGCACAGUUGAUUAUUAAAAUUGCUGCCGGAAAUGGAGUUGGUAAAAUUUUGGUCGGCAAGGAAGGUAUUUUGUCGACACCAGCUGUAUCUGCUAUUAUAAGGAAGAGAAAGGCAAAUGGUGGUUUCAUAAUGAGUGCAAGCCAUAACCCUGGAGGGCCUGAAUAUGAUUGGGGCAUCAAGUUCAAUUACAGCAGUGGGCAACCUGCUCCCGAGUCCAUCACUGAUAUGAUCUACGGAAACACACUUUCUAUAUCUGAAAUAAAGUUAGCAGAUAUUCCAGAUGUUGAUCUUUCAAGUGUUGGAAUUACAAAAUAUGGAAACUUUAGCGUGGAGAUAGUCGAUCCAGUCUCUGAUUAUUUGGAUCUGAUGGAGGAUGUCUUUGAUUUUUCACUAAUCAGAAGUCUUGUUUCUCGGUCAGAUUUCAGGUUUACGUUUGAUGCAAUGCAUGCGGUCACAGGUGCUUAUGCAAAGCCAAUUUUUGUAGAUAAGCUUGGAGCUAGUCCGGAUUCAAUAUGUAACGGAGUGCCUCUAGAAGAUUUCGGGCACGGUCAUCCUGAUCCCAAUCUAACGUAUGCAAAGGAUUUGGUCAACAUUAUGUAUAGUGACAAUGGACCUGAUUUUGGAGCUGCAAGUGACGGAGAUGGUGAUAGAAAUAUGAUUCUCGGUAGACAAUUUUUUGUGACUCCGUCAGACUCUGUUGCUAUUAUUGCUGCUAAUGCACAAGAAGCUAUUCCAUAUUUUCAGAGUGGCCCAAAGGGUUUAGCGCGGUCUAUGCCAACAAGUGGUGCACUUGACCGUGUGGCUGAGAAAUUGAAUCUCCCUUUCUUUGAGGUUCCCACUGGUUGGAAAUUUUUUGGGAACUUGAUGGAUGCUGGAACUUUAUCAAUUUGCGGGGAAGAAAGUUUUGGGACAGGUUCUGACCACAUUCGUGAGAAGGAUGGUAUAUGGGCUGUGCUAGCUUGGCUGUCUAUAAUUGCAUACAAAAACAAAAACAAGAACCCUGGAGAGGAAUUAAUUUCUAUAUCUGAAAUUGUAAAGGAGCAUUGGGCCACUUAUGGCAGGAACUACUUCUCUAGAUACGACUAUGAAGAAUGUGAAUCUGCAGGAGCUAAUGAAAUGAUCAAUUAUCUUAGAGACUUGAUUUCUAAAAGCAAACAAGGGGACAAGUAUGGGGUUUAUAGUCUUCAAUUUGCAGAUGACUUCACAUAUAAAGAUCCUGUAGAUGGAAGUGUAGCUUCAAAGCAAGGUGUUCGAUUUGUCUUCACAGAUGGGUCAAGGAUCAUAUUUCGUUUAUCGGGGACUGGUUCAGCAGGUGCGACUGUUAGAAUAUACAUAGAACAGUUUGAGCCUGAUGUCUCAAAACAUGACUUGGAUGCCCAAGUGGCACUGAAACCUUUGAUAGAUCUGGCACUGUCUGUAUCGAAGCUAAAGGAGUUCACUGGAAGGGAAAAGCCUACAGUAAUUACAUAAAUUAAAGUGACUUCUACAAUGAGAGUCUUAUCGGACGUGAUAUUGUAGCAGAUAUCCCUUGAUGAUAAGAAAGCAACAGCAGCAGCAGCAGAGCUUUGAAGUUUGUGGGGGUUGAGAUUUGGUAAAAUAUGUUGGUGCUGAUUAGAUAUUGGUAUGGUUAAAUGAGAUGGAGAUGGAGAUGGAGAUGGAGAUGGAGAUGGAGAAAAAGCAGUGUGUGCAUGCUGUAUCGAACUUGCAAUAAAGGCGAAUCAACUUUGUGGCGGGUCUUAUCCUGUCACUUCUUUUUGAGAGAGAUAAUGCAAGGAACUGGUUUUCUGUGGAUUUUUCUAUUUCAAGUUGAAUAUGUUUAGUGGAUCGCUUCUUUUCUUUUUUCUUCGUGUUACUUGUAAUAAUGCAAUGCCCACAAAACCUGAAUGUUUAACCAAU